rnacentral:rRNA from 1 species
CACGGGGGGAGCAAGCGUUGUUCGGAAUCACUGGGCGUAAAGCGCACGUAGGCGGAUUUGUCAGUCAGGGGUGAAAUCCCGGGGCUCAACCUCGGAACUGCCUUUGAUACAGCAAGUCUUGAGUUCGAGAGAGGUGGGUGGAAUUCCUAGUGUAGAGGUGAAAUUCGUAGAUAUUAGGAAGAACACCGGUGGCGAAGGCGGCCCACUGGCUCGAUACUGACGCUGAGGUGCGAAGGCGUGGGGAGCGAACAGG